rnacentral:rRNA from 1 species
GACGAACCGUGCGACCGUUGUUCGGAAUCACUGGGCUUAAAGGGCGCGUAGGCGGGCGGUCAAGUCAGAGGUGAAAUCCCACGGCUCAACCGUGGAAGUGCCCCUGAUACUGAUCGCCUCGAGGGAGAUAGGGGCGUGCGGAACUUCCGGUGGAGCGGUGAAAUGCGUAGAUAUCGGAAGGAACACCGAUGGCGAAAGCAGCGCGCUGGACCUUUACUGACGCUGAGGCGCGAAAGCCAGGGGAGCAAACGGG